rnacentral:misc_RNA from 1 species
UUUCCGUAGGUGAACCUGCGGAAGGAUCAUUAAUGAGUUGUCAUGGGGUUCGAUGCUGGCAGCCAAUUUUUGGAUGCAUGUGCUUGCCCUAACAAUCAUCUUCCAAACACCUGUGCGCAUUUUUGAGGGAGUCUUGAGUUGGUUGCCGCUCUUGGGUGAUUUUCUCACAUUCCCUUAAAUCAUUAUACGCUAUUAACAAUGUUGAACGUGCUCUGUGCCGCAAGGCUAUUAAUAUAAUACAACUUUUAACAACGGAUCUCUUGGCUCUC